CUGACACCCACCAUUAUGCAGUGGGGCUGCUGGCCAGGGAGAUGCGCCAUGUCUUGGUGCCCUUCCAUUCGCAGAUAGCAAUCCACCUGCUCGGGCUGCUCAGCAGGGAGGAGCCCCUCUGGGAGCUCCCUGCCCUGGCGUUCCUUGUAGAGAUCCUGGACUAUCUGGAUGGGACAAAGUGUCAUGAGAGGGUCCUGCUCAUCCUAUCAAGGAACCUGCAGAGCCAGUGCCC